rnacentral:rRNA from 1 species
UGGGGAAUAUUGCACAAUGGAGGGAACUCUGAUGCAGCGACGCCGCGUGAACGAAGAAGGCUUUCGAGUCGUAAAGUUCUUUUAUAUGGGAAGAUAAUGACGGUACCAUAAGAAAAAGCCCCGGCUAACUACGUGCCAGCAGCCGCGGUAAUACGUAGGGGGCUAGCGUUGUCCGGAAUCACUGGGCGUAAAGGGUUCGCAGGCGGAAAUGCAAGUCAGGUGUAAAAGGCAGUAGCUUAACUACUGUAAGCAUUUGAAACUGCAUAUCUUGAGAAGAGUAGAGGUAAGUGGAAUUUUUAGUGUAGCGGUGAAAUGCGUAGAUAUUAAAAAGAAUACCGGUGGCGAAGGCGGCUUACUGGGCUCAUUCUGACGCUGAGGAACGAAAGCGUGGGUAGCAAACAGGA